rnacentral:rRNA from 1 species
CGCAACGCGAAGAACCUUACCCAGGCUCGAACGGUAGAUGACAUCUUACGAAAGUAGGCUCCCGCAAGGGCAUCUAUCGAGGUGCUGCAUGGCUGUCGUCAGCUCGUGUCGUGAGAUGUUGGGUUAAGUCCCGCAACGAGCGCAACCCUUGUCUUCUGUUGCCAUCAGGUCAAGCUGGGCACUCUGAAGAGACUGCCGGUGACAAACCGGAGGAAGGUGGGGAUGACGUCAAGUCAGCAUGGCCUUUAUGUCUGGGGCCACACACGUGCUACAAUGGCAGGUACAAACCGUCGCGAGACCGCAAGGUGGAGCUAAUCGGAGAAAGCCUGUCUCAGUUCGGAUUGUCGGCUGCAACUCGCCGGCAUGAAGUUGGAAUCGCUAGUAAUCGCGGAUCAGCACGCCGCGGUGAAUACGUUCCCGGGCCUUGUACACACCGCCCGUCACAUCACG